rnacentral:rRNA from 1 species
UUGCAAAAUCGAAACUUAAAGGAAUUGACGGAGGGGCACACCAGAAGUGGAGCCUGCGGCUUAAUUUGACUCAACGCGCGAAAGCUUACUCGGUCCGAACACCGUGAGGAUUGACAGGUUGAAAGCUCUUUCUUGAUCCGGUGGGUAGCGGUGCAUGGCCGUUCGUAGUUGGUGAAGUGAUUUGUCUGGUUUAUUCCGAUAACGAACGAGACUCUAGCCUACUAAUUAGCGUAGCGAUUGUUCGUCGUUACAAUGCUUCUUAGAGGGACAGGUGUUGCUUAAGCACACGAAGUAGAGCAAUAACAGGUCUGUGAUGCCCUCAGACGUUCGAGGCUGCACGCGCGCUACAAUGGAGGGCACAAAGCGCACUAUGCAUGUCGGAAGAUAUGCGGAAUCGUAAAUAGCCUUCAUGACUGGGAUCGGAGAUUGAAAUUAUUCUUCGUGAACGAGGAAUUCCUAGUAAGCGCGAGUCAUUAUCUCGCGUUGAUUAAGUCCCUGCCCUUUGUACACACCGCCCGUCGCUACUACCGAUUGAAUGAUUUGGUGAGGUCUGUGGAUAGGUGUCACCGGGCUAACAACCCUGUUGAUCUACCUAGAAGCUGCCCAAGCUUGAGCGUUUAGAGGAAGUAAAAGUCGUAACAAGGUUUCUGUAGGUG